CUACCUCUCUGCUCCAUCUCUUUGCUAUAAUUUGUUUAGCCAGAUUUCCUAAGAAGAUGAGACUUAUGUAUUCAUCCUCUCUGUGUAUGACUGUGUCUGUGUGUAUACAUGAAAAGCAUGUGUCUAGGCAUUUUCUUGCUGUGAUGCAUGAAGAGGUAGAUGAUUUCACAUGAUUUUUUUGGCCAGAGAAUAAAAUCGUCAUAACCAAAUAAUAAUUGGAUAGGGAGAGGAAAGGGACAGACUGUGGUAGUGCCUUGGCACAUUUCAAAGUAAUCUCUCCCAUCAUGGAAGACCAGGAAAAUUGAAAGAGAAAAUUUCUGAAUGUCUCCAUCAUGCAGAAAGCUUCAUCUGAAACUCAUGGCUAUCCCAAUGUACAUCAGUCACAGCUGUGAUGCUCUAAUCUGCUAGGCUGUAUUAAUCUGGGGACUCACAGGAUUGCUGCUUUUAUCUUUUUGCCAAUUAAGAGGUAACUCCACAAACUUAAUGUUGACUAAUCAGUUUUGGUUUCUUUUCCUUUAAAAGCAGUAAGAAAACCCUCUAAUCAAAGACUGUGUGUUGAUCGUUUGUUAGUGGAAUACUCUGUAUGAAAAGAUGAAUAAACUUGUGUCUGUCUCUGCAUCUUGCAGAAGGAGAGCUUUCUUCAUUCCUCUGCAAGCCAAGAUGAAUCCCUUCUGUUUGGUGCUGCCACGCACGAGCAGAGGGACAGGAUAAGACCAGUUCAACAAAAGGGCAAUUUACUUGGAAAUACAAAUAUAUCUCAUUGCUUCUACUCCAUGGGUUCUUGCCUGGCCCUGUGAAUUCCUGAAGUUUGCACUCAUCUAACUCCCUAGACAUUCACGGGAAAUGUGGGAGAAUGAAGACUACAUGUGCUAAUAUUUGCAGUUAACAACAUCCCCCCCAUUCUUGUGUAAAUAGCGCAAGUUCAUCCAUCACUGUGUAAUCAGGAGACUGUCAGGAUCUACCAGCUAC